GGUUAAGCGACUAAGCGUACACGGUGGAUGCCCUGGCAGUCAGAGGCGAUGAAGGACGUGCUAAUCUGCGAUAAGCGUCGGUAAGGUGAUAUGAACCGUUAUAACCGGCGAUUUCCGAAUGGGGAAACCCAGUGUGAUUCGUCACACUAUCAUUAACUGAAUCCAUAGGUUAAUGAGGCGAACCGGGGGAACUGAAACAUCUAAGUACCCCGAGGAAAAGAAAUCAACCGAGAUUCCCCCAGUAGCGGCGAGCGAACGGGGAGCAGCCCAGAGCCUGAAUCAGUGUGUGUGUUAGUGGAAGCGUCUGGAAAGGCGCGCGAUACAGGGUGAUAGCCCCGUACACAAAAAUGCACAUGCUGUGAGCUCGAUGAGUAGGGCGGGACACGUGGUAUCCUGUCUGAAUAUGGGGGGACCAUCCUCCAAGGCUAAAUACUCCUGACUGACCGAUAGUGAACCAGUACCGUGAGGGAAAGGCGAAAAGAACCCCGGCGAGGGGAGUGAAAAAGAACCUGAAACCGUGUACGUACAAGCAGUGGGAGCACGCUUAGGCGUGUGACUGCGUACCUUUUGUAUAAUGGGUCAGCGACUUAUAUUCUGUAGCAAGGUUAACCGAAUAGGGGAGCCGAAGGGAAACCGAGUCUUAACUGGGCGUUAAGUUGCAGGGUAUAGACCCGAAACCCGGUGAUCUAGCCAUGGGCAGGUUGAAGGUUGGGUAACACUAACUGGAGGACCGAACCGACUAAUGUUGAAAAAUUAGCGGAUGACUUGUGGCUGGGGGUGAAAGGCCAAUCAAACCGGGAGAUAGCUGGUUCUCCCCGAAAGCUAUUUAGGUAGCGCCUCGUGAAUUCAUCUCCGGGGGUAGAGCACUGUUUCGGCAAGGGGGUCAUCCCGACUUACCAACCCGAUGCAAACUGCGAAUACCGGAGAAUGUUAUCACGGGAGACACACGGCGGGUGCUAACGUCCGUCGUGAAGAGGGAAACAACCCAGACCGCCAGCUAAGGUCCCAAAGUCAUGGUUAAGUGGGAAACGAUGUGGGAAGGCCCAGACAGCCAGGAUGUUGGCUUAGAAGCAGCCAUCAUUUAAAGAAAGCGUAAUAGCUCACUGGUCGAGUCGGCCUGCGCGGAAGAUGUAACGGGGCUAAACCAUGCACCGAAGCUGCGGCAGCGACGCUUAUGCGUUGUUGGGUAGGGGAGCGUUCUGUAAGCCUGCGAAGGUGUGCUGUGAGGCAUGCUGGAGGUAUCAGAAGUGCGAAUGCUGACAUAAGUAACGAUAAAGCGGGUGAAAAGCCCGCUCGCCGGAAGACCAAGGGUUCCUGUCCAACGUUAAUCGGGGCAGGGUGAGUCGACCCCUAAGGCGAGGCCGAAAGGCGUAGUCGAUGGGAAACAGGUUAAUAUUCCUGUACUUGGUGUUACUGCGAAGGGGGGACGGAGAAGGCUAUGUUGGCCGGGCGACGGUUGUCCCGGUUUAAGCGUGUAGGCUGGUUUUCCAGGCAAAUCCGGAAAACUAAGGCUGAGGCGUGAUGACGAGGCACUACGGUGCUGAAGCAACAAAUGCCCUGCUUCCAGGAAAAGCCUCUAAGCAUCAGGUAACAUCAAAUCGUACCCCAAACCGACACAGGUGGUCAGGUAGAGAAUACCAAGGCGCUUGAGAGAACUCGGGUGAAGGAACUAGGCAAAAUGGUGCCGUAACUUCGGGAGAAGGCACGCUGAUAUGUAGGUGAAGUCCCUCGCGGAUGGAGCUGAAAUCAGUCGAAGAUACCAGCUGGCUGCAACUGUUUAUUAAAAACACAGCACUGUGCAAACACGAAAGUGGACGUAUACGGUGUGACGCCUGCCCGGUGCCGGAAGGUUAAUUGAUGGGGUCAGCGCAAGCGAAGCUCUUGAUCGAAGCCCCGGUAAACGGCGGCCGUAACUAUAACGGUCCUAAGGUAGCGAAAUUCCUUGUCGGGUAAGUUCCGACCUGCACGAAUGGCGUAAUGAUGGCCAGGCUGUCUCCACCCGAGACUCAGUGAAAUUGAACUCGCUGUGAAGAUGCAGUGUACCCGCGGCAAGACGGAAAGACCCCGUGAACCUUUACUAUAGCUUGACACUGAACAUUGAGCCUUGAUGUGUAGGAUAGGUGGGAGGCUUUGAAGUGUGGACGCCAGUCUGCAUGGAGCCGACCUUGAAAUACCACCCUUUAAUGUUUGAUGUUCUAACGUGGACCCGUGAUCCGGGUUGCGGACAGUGUCUGGUGGGUAGUUUGACUGGGGCGGUCUCCUCCUAAAGAGUAACGGAGGAGCACGAAGGUUGGCUAAUCCUGGUCGGACAUCAGGAGGUUAGUGCAAUGGCAUAAGCCAGCUUGACUGCGAGCGUGACGGCGCGAGCAGGUGCGAAAGCAGGUCAUAGUGAUCCGGUGGUUCUGAAUGGAAGGGCCAUCGCUCAACGGAUAAAAGGUACUCCGGGGAUAACAGGCUGAUACCGCCCAAGAGUUCAUAUCGACGGCGGUGUUUGGCACCUCGAUGUCGGCUCAUCACAUCCUGGGGCUGAAGUAGGUCCCAAGGGUAUGGCUGUUCGCCAUUUAAAGUGGUACGCGAGCUGGGUUUAGAACGUCGUGAGACAGUUCGGUCCCUAUCUGCCGUGGGCGCUGGAGAACUGAGGGGGGCUGCUCCUAGUACGAGAGGACCGGAGUGGACGCAUCACUGGUGUUCGGGUUGUCAUGCCAAUGGCACUGCCCGGUAGCUAAAUGCGGAAGAGAUAAGUGCUGAAAGCAUCUAAGCACGAAACUUGCCCCGAGAUGAGUUCUCCCUGACUCCUUGAGAGUCCUGAAGGAACGUUGAAGACGACGACGUUGAUAGGCCGGGUGUGUAAGCGCAGCGAUGCGUUGAGCUAACCGGUACUAAUGAACCGUGAGGCUUAACCUU
rnacentral:rRNA from 1 species